rnacentral:rRNA from 1 species
GAUGAACGCUGGCGGCGUGCCUAAUACAUGCAAGUCGAGCGAACAGACGAGGAGCUUGCUCCUCUGACGUUAGCGGCGGACGGGUGAGUAACACGUGGAUAACCUACCUAUAAGACUGGGAUAACUUCGGGAAACCGGAGCUAAUACCGGAUAAUAUAUUGAACCGCAUGGUUCAAUAGUGAAAGACGGUUUUGCUGUCACUUAUAGAUGGAUCCGCGCCGCAUUAGCUAGUUGGUAAGGUAACGGCUUACCAAGGCGACGAUGCGUAGCCGAACGGAGAGGGUGAUCGGCCACACUGGGACUGAGACACGGUCCAGACUCCUACGGGAGGCAGCAGUAGGGCAUCUUCCGCAAGGGGCGAAAGCCUGACGGAGCAACGCCGCGUGAGUGAUGAAGGUCUUCGGAUCGUAAAACUCUGUUAUUAGGGAAGAACAAAUGUGUAAGUAACUAUGCACGUCUUGACGGUACCUAAUCAGAAAGCCACGGCUAACUACGUG